rnacentral:miRNA from 1 species
AGAUUUGAAGUUCAUAUAAACAAUAAAUAGUAUUUUUAGUAUAAAUGUAUCUCGUGCAAUAUUUGAGACAUACUUAUACUAAAAUUUGUUGUUGUUUACUCAGAUUUAGCUG